GGUGGUAUAGUAUAGUGGAUAGUACAACACGUUGUGGAUCGUGAUUCAUGGUUCUCAUGUCUCGUAAAACAUACGAGGAUGUGUAUUGAAUCUUCACAACUGUACCGUGUAGACCUGGGUUCGAUUCCCAGUACCGCCA